GUAAUUCCAGCUCCAAUAGCGUAUAUUAAAGUUGUUGCAGUUAAAAAGCUCGUAGUUGAAUUUCGGGGCCAGUAGGUCGGUCGUGCCACUGGUAUGAACUGGUCUCACUGGUCCCUCCCUCUUGAAGAACCGUGAUGCCAUUAAUUUGGUGUUGCGGGGAAACAGGACUGUUACUUUGAAAAAAUUAGAGUGCUUAAAGCAGGCUUACGCUUGAAUACAUUAGCAUGGAAUAACGAAAUAGGACGAUCGAUUCUAUUUUGUUGGUUUCUAGGAUCGACGUAAUGAUUAAUAGGGAUAGUUGGGGGCAUUAGUAUUCAAUUGUCAGAGGUGAAAUUCUUGGAUUUAUUGAAGACUAACUACUGCGAAAGCAUUUGCCAAGGAUGUUUUCAUUAAUCAAGAACGAAAGUUAGGGGAUCGAAGACGAUCAGAUACCGUCGUAGUCUUAACCAUAAACUAUGCCGACUAGGGAUCGGAUGAAGUUAAUUU
rnacentral:rRNA from 1 species